rnacentral:lncRNA from 1 species
UAUACAUUUAAUUUCUUAUCUUUACUAAUAAUUCUCUGAGAACAGUCUCAGACUCUUACUUGAUAUCAGCAAUUCUGCAAAGAGUUGAACCAUGAAACAUAAAGAGAGGAAAAAACACCAGAAGAAGAAACUCUUAAAACAACCUGUGAAAAAGUCAAGGGGUACAAGAGGUUUUUGAGGAAUCUCCUCACCGAUUUCCACAGUGGUUGCCAGUCUACAUGCACACUAACAGAGGAAAAGGGUUCCUUUGUACAGAGGGGCUGGAAGAAUGUUCUUGUCUUUAUUUUACUUUCAGGAAAGUUGGAUUUACAAGAUGUUCUGCAGGGUAGAGCCAAGGUACUGGCCCAUACUCAAGGCCACAAAGUGGCGGAUAGUUCUUCCUCAACCUCAGGGGACUUCUCCUAUGAAGACAAAUUCUUGGAUGCAGAACUGGACAACUCUCCAGAGGAUACCACUGAGACACAUGAUGAGAUGGUCCCAAGUUCAAAUCUGGAUGCAGGAGAGAAUUUCUGUCUCAGAACAUUUGCCAUGCAUCUCUUCUUCAAGCAAGUGCAUUCCUAUGGACGAGGAUGGUCCUGGAUCCUCCAAGAGGCUUUUAAAUCAAGAUUUGAUGGAGAAGAAGAAUUUCUCCUUCAUGGCACAUCCUCAUUUACCUUCCUCCUUGGCCAAUAACUCCUUAGAGUCUGCAAGAUCUACUGAAAAGAAAAGAGUCCUGAAUGUUUACUAUCAGCCUGUCAUAAUGAAAAGGGGUAUGGCUUCCUUGGGGAUACAGAAGAUGAUUUGGAGCCCCCCGCAAAGAUGACAAGAAUAGCAAGAAUGACCUUUCCUGAGAAGAUCCCUUCAAAAGCCAGCCUCUCUUCUGUGUGCCUAAGAGACGUCCUAACUGACAGGGAAAAUGGCCUGCCCGGGGAAGGCCAAGAGGAAAGGGAAGAGGCUGAGAAUCGGGCCCGGGAUUUGGGGCUGGAGGACCUGUAUAGUGGCUUUAGGUGCAUGGGCUGCGACCAGGUCUUCCCCAACUUGCGGAUGCUUAAGAAACACCUGGAGGAUGGGGAUGAGGGUGGUGCUUCAUGCCUUAGUCUUGCAUUUGCCAAACCAAGGAACAAAAUGAAGCAAAGCAAGAGAAUCACAGAGGGGGAGAAUAGGAAUAUGACAACAUCUGGAGGUGAUAUGGAGAUACUUUUGAGGUUCUUGUUACUUUGGGAUUUUGUAGUUUUUUGUUUUAUUAUUAUAAUAAAUAGAAAUUAAAUCACAUGUUUCUGGAAGUAAUAAAUUAGAGGCAAUAACUCAAGAGGGCACCAGAAAACUUUUCCAUCCACAAAAUAGCAGAAAAAAUAAGCAUCUUCACAACCUAAGCCUUUGGUUAGUUUUUUUCAUUCCAUCUCUGUUCCCUCACCCACAUCAGCCUGCUGUUUCCAGAAUGGGUCUCAAUCUUGAUGAUACAGGUUGACCUGAAAGAGAAGUUCACCACAUCUGCCCCAAAUCUGAGAAGCUGACAGAGAAGGUCUGGAGACAUUUGAGAAAGCUGCAGACUUGGUGGCUGUCAUCUGGCAACAUCAGCCACAAUGCAGCUAUCCAUGAAUGAUAGGAAUCUUCUAAGGGUUAGUAUUAACUGAGUGUUUUCUAUGACUAAAGCACAAUGAAAGUAGAAAUCAACAGCAACAUAAAAGGAAUUGAAAGCAGUACAUGUGAAAAUUUAAAUUGCACCUCAUAAUUUAAAGAAAAAAAUUAUGAUGGAAGUUAGAAAAUUGUUG